CCUACGGGGGGCAGCAGUGGGGAAUAUUGGGCAAUGGAGGAAACGCUGACCCAGCAACGCCGCGUGAAUGAUGGAGGUCUUCGGAUUGUAAAGUUCUUUUCUAAGGGAGGAAGAAAGUGACGGUACCUUAGGAAUAAGCCUCGGCUAACUACGUGCCAGCAGCCGCGGUAAUACGUAGGAGGCAAGCGUUAUCCGGAAUGACUGGGCGUAAGGGGUGCGUAGGUGUGUGGUUAAGUUGGGAGUGAAACUCCGAGGGUAACGCUCGGCACUACUACCAAAACUGUCGGACGUGAGUGCAGGAGGGGCGACUGGAAUGUCUAGUGUAGCGGUGGAAUGCGUAGAUAUUAGGAGGAACACCAGUGGCGAAGGCGAGUUGCUGGACUGUAACUGACACUGAGGCACGAAAGCGUGGGGAGCAAACAGGAUUAGAUACCCCAGUAGUC
rnacentral:rRNA from 1 species